UUCCCUCCAACAUUUCCCUCCAACAUUUCCCUCCUACAUUUUUCUCUCCCACACAACAUUUUCCCCCAAUUUGCCUCUUCCUCUUCUCAUAGAAAGCAACCCAGUCGCUACCCUACCGAUUUUUCUCUUCCUUUUCUCGCAACUCACCAUCCAAACAUCGCCGCUACCCUCCCCAUUUCCUCUUCUUUUUCUUGCCACCCACCAUUCGAAGGACACUGCUACUUGCUACCAUUCGAACGUUGCUGAACGCCAUUGCUACCUGCUACCAUCCGUUCGUUGCUGGAGGCCGCUGCUCCCUUGCUCACCGAACUCGUCGUUCUUCUUUCGAAAAGGAAGAUUCAAAGACAAAGCAAAAACUACUGAUAUGAGGAGUCUGAUAUUAUAUUACACUGCUAUAUGUUUUUGAAGAUUACAUUGGGAAACUAAUGCAAACUUUGAUGAAGUGGUGGCUAAAGAGCUUCAGCUGCUGCUCUUUUCAUCCUUGGAAUAGAAAAUGAUGCAUAAGAAACUCUAAGAGAUGGGAACAUCCCUGGGAUUCAAAAAAUUAUUAAAGGAAAUUAUGAUUCAUGAUCGCUCAUUAUGGACCUUUUUGGAAAUAGAAACUGCUACUGGCAAUGUAGAUAACGGUUCAAUUGAACACUCUCUAAGACAUAGAAGCACGUAUACAAAAUAAAUUUUGGAUGGCGGAGAACAGAUAGGACUGAAACAUUUCAAGUCAGUGAAGCCUUUCAGAUCUGGUGGUACUGGCAGUUAUGAGCUGGAAGUUUAAACAAGAAACAAUUCCAGUUUUAAGACUUCAGACCUCUGGUGACCAAGAGGAUGAGGAUAUAGCAUACACACUCCAAGGCUAUGAAACUUUUCCUAAAAGGUAACAUUUAUAAUCUCGUGUUCAUUUGGUAUGUUAUUCUAUGUUACUUUGUAAUACUAUUUAGUCAAUUGAUUGUAAAUUUUGACUGUAGUUGAGGAUGUGUGUGGAAGAUAUCCAAAUGCCACAGAGGUCAACAUCUUUGGUGUACCAGUUGUUCACUUGCAAGCAAUCUCUUCCUUAGUUUUAGUAUACCACACAUGUUUUUGGUUAUAUAAGAUAUCUAUUAUUAUUGUUGAUUUUGAAAUAGGCCACAUUUAGAAAAUUUUAGUUGACUAUAUUGGAUUGGAAUUGUGUAAUUGUUGAUGACAUUGUUGAGAUUAAUAAAAUUAUUGUUGGUUUA